GCAUGCCGCACGUCCGGAGGGACCACGGGUACCAGGAGCUGAUCCAAGCCCCCGUGUCUAAACCCACUGCUGCAUCUGAAGAGGAAACAAUUAAACUUUAACUGCCACAAGAUGCAUCAGAAAUGAAGAUGAAGGCCUCCUCUGACUUCCAGGUGUAUGGAGGUGGUGUGAGUUGGUGGAGGAGAGCUGCUGCGUUUGCAGGCCUGAGGGGUUGUCUGUUAUCUUUGGUUAUCUAGCUGUAUGAGUCAUGUACAUUCUUCAUAAAGCUAGAUAACCGAAAGUAACAAGAAUCCCAUUACACGCCUGCAUGGAAGAAGAAAACGGACUUAAAAAAAAAAAAGAAAAAGAAAAAGAAAAAGACAAAAAACUACUGGAGAGGAACUGAUUUCGGACAAAGGAAGCUGCAAACCAACGACAUGAAGGUUUCUGAUCAGGUUGGAGUUUGGGUCUGAUCAGCUGAUCUUUGGACUAUGGCCGAGUCCAGUUGAUGCCCUUCCCCCCCCCACAGCACAACAUCACUGUUAACCCUUGUUUCUCAUACUGGAGGAUGUUACCACCAUCUGCACAGUGGACACAGUUAAAACUGUCAUUGACGACAGAUACAAACUGAUGAAGCAGAUGCAGCGAAAUAAGGAAAAAACUGAUAUUCGGCCAAGACUGAAACUAUGAGAGUGGAUUCUUUGAGUGCAUCCGUGUGUUGUUGUUGUUGUCGUACACCGUGGUCUCCAGCCCUGCUCUGUGCAGCUGUUCAGAAAACAUGUGCACUAUAGAUGUAUAUGUAGGUCACGGUGAGACACACACACACAUGCACUAACAUACAUUUGCAGUUGAAAGUAAUUUUAAAUAGGAUGUAAUAAAUUAGGGAAUGACUACAGUAGUCCAUGUUUUGAGUUUUUAGUGUACUUAGUUCAACAAUUUAAUCUCGAUGUAGAAUAGAGAAUUCAAAUGUAUACGUCUGCAUAUUGAAUUAUAUUUCCGUCUUACAUAUUUUAAUUGUUUUUGCCUCGUGUAAAUUUGGUAUUUCAAUCAUAUUUGGUGACAAUCUGUGUGACUUUAUUACUUGAAACAUGUGAAAUUAUUUUUUGUGCAAUUUAAGUAUGAACCACAUAGCAGAUAUUUUUUAACAGCAGUUAAUUCUUAACUUUUUUUAAACAAAAUAUUUGACAUUAAUGCAUUACUGGUAAAUAUAGUUGUUGUACCAUCAAAUAUUCUUUAUUAGUAACAAUUCAUACUUCAUGCUUACAAUCUUUAUUAAUGUUUAUUCCCUGUUCAGUGCACCAGAGAACAGCUGGGCAUAUUUAGUCUGAUUUGAAAUUAAUCUUUACAUUUAAUCUAUGCAAAAGAAAACUAGAGGAAGGUGUUUACGUUUGCACUUUUUUUGUAUUUGCGUUUGCACAUUAACAGCUAAAUGUAGGGGUUUGGUCUGAGAGCAAUGUGAUGUUGUUUUACUCGUGUGCACUGUACGAGCACAGGUGCAAUAUGUGUGUGUGUGUGUGUGUGUGUGUGUGUGUGUGGAGGUUAGUUGAUGAUCUAUUAUGAUGAUUUAAUCACUUGCUGCCUUUAUUGCACGUCAUAUUUGUCAAAUCUGUUCCUCUGACAAUGUUCUGAAACAGAAUGAAUGCAUUUUACCGAUGUAACUGCAUUCAUGAAAACAUUGUAUGUGCAAUUGAAUUUGUGUAAUUUGUGUGAGUAUAUUUAGAGGGAAUGAGCGGGUGGCGUUAUUUUGCACUGUAUGACCUACUGUUUCAAGAGUCACAUAUGCGUGAUUUGCACAAGUUACUGUAUUUGAACUAUGCAAUUGUUUACAGUUAAUGUAAUCAAUAAAAGUCUUGUUUA